AUCUGAAAUGGGGUACCAUGUUGUUCAGAGAUUGGUUGAUUUGACAUUUAUUCGGGAGAAGAAUUACAAAAGAAAAACGAAAUUAAUAAAAAUAUUAAUAUUCAUCAAGACAAAUUUGUGGAAGACGCUUUUUGUAAAAGAUGCGGAUAAAUUGGAGCAUUCUAAUGAUGAUCCGACCACCUAUUAUAUAAUUGAAAGUGACCCGAUUGUUAACAGAUAUAUCUCUUACAACAGGGAUAAAGGAAGUUUAAAUUGUGCAUCGUUCAUUGGAGGAAUCAUAGAAGCGUAGAUUUUAUGUAUAAAUGUUUAUUUCAUCUCAAGAUUGACAUCAUUCUCUAUUUUUACAGAAUGCUAAAGUGACAGUUCAUUGGCACAAAGGGACAACUUUCAUGAUAAAAUUUGGUCAAGCUGUCAUUGACCGGGAUAAGUCUAAAGAAUGAAUCUUGAUAAAAAAUUCAUCAGCAAAAUGUAAUUUUAUUGAAAACAAAAUAUAAUAUAAUCAUCAAAUAUA